rnacentral:rRNA from 1 species
GUCUGCACACCAUGCCCAGAAAUGCCUGAAAAUGAGACUGCGUCCUGCCAAGUGUUGGAUUGUUCACCCACCAAUAGGGAACGUGAGUUGGGUUUAGACCGUCGUGAGACAGGUU